AGUGUGGGCCUGACCGUGCCUGAGUAAGCCCCAUGGGAACACAGCCGUGGUGGGAAGCAGCUUCCCAGCAGCCCUCCCCGCCAUCGGGAGAAUCCCCUGAGGCCAUGAGAGGGUCUCAGGGAGGUGGACGGCCCAUCAAGUGAGAACCGAGGGCACUGUGCACUCCUGAAUCCUAGGACUCCUCUUAGGUUUGGAGGCUCUGGUGAUAAGGGGAACUGCUUCCAGCAGAAAACAAAGUCAUAGCGGUGUGAAACUGAGACCACCCAGUUAGGGCUUUACGUGCCACGAGAACCACAUGCAGAUGAGGUGGUUGGGUGAACCGUUCAAGGUGCUGUAGCUUUCAGGCGAGUAUGACUGAAUUGACAUCUCCUUGUUAUGAUCCUGUAGCUGAUGGGACUCCGUCAUUUCCCUGGGACAGAACCUUGGUUUUUCGUACAGACACAGAAAUACUUGAUGUUGACAAAGAAAAGUGGUGGGCUAUGCUGGGCCAUCUGCUUUUGCCCUUCCAGACCCGACCUCCACUUUCAGCAUGCGUCUGUCCCCAGGAUGG
rnacentral:lncRNA from 1 species